CCUUGGCCUUAAUCCUCACAUGUGUGCCAUCCUACCUCAGGCAGCAAGUCCUGCGUUCUCCCUAUUUUACAGAUGAGGCAGCUGAGGAUCUCGGACCUUGCCAAGAUUACAUUCCAAGUGAGGGGAUUCACACGCAGGCUGUCAGCCUCUACAGGGCAGGCUUUCCACACCAUCACCCACAGCCUGCUCACGGUGCACCAGGCCUCGUGCUAAGCAGGGUACAUGCAUUCAUUCCUAGCCAGCUCACAACAAAGAUGCAGACAGGCCAACUGAGACCCUCACUGGGCACCCAUUCUUACAAAGUCAGUUAAGCAAGGUCAGCCUCAGGCAGUGGCUGAUGGUAGCCUAGAGACUUCUGCCAGUCCAUCCUGGAAAGUAGUAAGAAUACUGUGUGUUCAGCAACUGGGACAGACCCCGUGGAGAAGCGAAGAAAGCAGACGCCAGUUGAAGAGGCCCAUGGCCCAGACCCUAGGGCUCCAAGGUUCUAUCAGGUGUCAGUAUGAGGCAGCCCUUUGAAAGAAUGCAAAUGUCAGGGACAAGCAGAGGUAAGGAACACAGAGAGCUAUAGCGACAAGCACUUUGUGGACUGCCACUGGCUUCCUACCCUCUGCCAUGCCCAAAUCGAUAUGGCAGUUAUCUUCAGAGGAACCAAGCAGACACACAAGAGCCAUACUUGUAAACUCUGGUCUUCUUUCUAUGCAAGGGCUGGAGAAGCUACAUUGUGAGGAGGUGAGAGAUGGAACUUUUUCUUUGAUACCCAAUUGUAUUUCUGCCAGCUUUCCAGACCUGAAGAUGGGGUAUUCAUUUGGACUGCCUCAUCCCCAUAGGAAAGUGCAUUGAAAAAAUAAACCAGGAGUCAAAAUUGAAAACGCAGCCUGCAUAUUCGUAGAAUCUUGAGGUGGCACUCUACUUACUAUCUUAUUCAUUUUAAGUUAAUCACCAAUUGUGAGCAGCUAGGGGGCAAAUGCUGGAUUGGAGUUUUUGUUCUGCAUACAAACUAGCCUAUUCUGAACUUACGUGAAGUUUAAAUAGCAGCAUCCUGUUCUUGUUUUAUUGGAAAAAGUUCUUUUACAUGAGUUCCAGCCCUAUCUCAGACCCUGCAAGACCCCGCCCUAAGAGUGGUAAAUGAAGUGUGGAUUGAGAAAUCAUGCUAUUUGCAUGAUUGCUGUGUUUUUUCAUUUUUCAUUUUUUUAAAAGUUGUAUCCUUGAGACAGAAGGAAGUUAAGGGCAAAUCCCUAAGGGCUACUUCCUGGAAAAGAAAUAUAUGGUUGUUUCUAUCUGGGAAAUACAUGACUGUUGAGACUGCUUUGUCCAAUUUCCCUAUCCUUAUAUCUUACAUAGGAGCAAAGUAAAACAGGUGCUCAGAAAAGGGAGGUAAUCUGACCACAGUUACUAGGUAGAGGCAGAAAUGAGACACAAACCUCGGUGUGCCAACGCCCCAAGUGCUCUGACGACUGAAUCACUCAGCCUCUAGAUUUAAUUCAUGCUCAAGGAAUAUUCUGAAACAACUUGUUUUUCUUUUUGUCUUUUACUAUUUCGAAGACUUGUGAAAUUGGAGUUCUCGGCUUCCUGGGAUCUGCAGCAGGGUUGUUGGUGACCAUUUUCUAUCACAGAUCACCAGCUUAGUCAUAAUUCAGCAUGCUACCCUCUUGGUCCUAGGAGAGGACACUCCUUCUGAAAACACAUGAACAACUGGAAACUUGGUUUUUAGAGUCUGUGAUUCUGGCACCUGGGAACUGGGAGAAGACUCACUGUUCAAGUGGCUACAUCCUCCAUAACUUCCCACCGGUGUUCCUUCAGGACUCCCCUGUAAAACACCGCCCACUACACUGUAGCAACUGAUAAUCCUCAACACCACUGGCAAUUAUCUACCUGAGGGCUGUGCCCCUCCACCACCAGCACCACUGGCCCUAUUUUCUUUUCUUUCUUCCAGAAACUGGCUAGGCUUCAAUAACCUAAUGUAGUAGUGAUCACUGAGUGAUCCUUUUGUUUAGGAAAGUGGGAAUUGGUCACUUCUUCCAAAUAAAUGGGGACAACACAAAGAAUGUUAGUGUUGGGGAGGUGCAGUGCAUGUUGGUGGAGGUUCACCAUAUUUUUGGGGAAUCUAGCAUGGAAGCAUUGCCCAGGGAUGGUAGUUAUAAAGGAAUGCAACUACAUUGCCCCCUAGUGGUUGUAAUGCAUAAACGUUAAAAAGAAACCUAAUUGUUUAAAGCCCCCUGUAGAAAAAUGGGCAGCAUUCCAUUGAGCAAAGUCUCACUUGGUCAAAGACCUUUAGCAUCCAGACACUCUUCCCAGCACAGGUGCCACCACAAUGAGCAAGACAUGGCCCCUGUUUUCAAGAAACACACACUAUAGAAGGAAACAAUAUCGCUCACUAGGCUAAUCCUCCGCCUGCGGCGCCGGCACCCUGGGUUCUAGUCCUGGUCAGGGCGCUGGAUUCUGUCCCGGUUGCUCCUCUUCCAGUCCAGCUCUCUGCUCUGGCCUUGGAAGGCAGCGGAAGAUGGCCCAAGUCCAUGGAACCUGCACCCGCGUGGGAGACCAGGAGGAAGCACCUGGCUCCUGGCUUCGGAUUAGUGCAGCGCGCUGGCCAUAGUGGCCAUUUGGGAGGUGAACCAAUGGAAGGAAGACCUUUCUCUCCGUCUCUCUCUCUCACUGUCUAACUCUGCCUCUCAGAAGAAACAAAAUAAAAA